UUGGAGGGCAAGUCUGGUGCCAGCAGCCGCGGUAAUUCCAGCUCCAAUAGCGUAUAUUAAAGUUGUUGCAGUUAAAAAGCUCGUAGUUGAAUUUCGGGAUCAAUACGUCGGUCGUGCUUUUUUGGUACGCACUGGCGUCAUUGGUUUCUCCUUUCUGACGAACCAUGAUGUCAUUAAUUUGGUGUUAUGGGGAGUUAGGACUGUUACUUUGAAAAAAUUAGAGUGUUUAAAGCAGGCAUUAGCUUGAAUACAUUAGCAUGGAAUAAUGAAAUAGGACGUUCGAUCCUAUUUUGUUGGUUUCUAGGAUCAACGUAAUGAUUAAUAGGGAUAGUUGGGGGCAUUAGUAUUCAAUUGUCAGAGGUGAAAUUCUUGGAUUUAUUGAAGACUAACUACUGCGAAAGCAUUUGCCAAGGAUGUUUUCAUUAAUCAAGAACGAAAGUUAGGGGAUCGAAGACGAUCAGAUACCGUCGUAGUCUUAACCAUAAACUAUGCUGACUAGGGAUCGGAUGAUGUUAAUUUUUUAAUGACUCAUUCGGCGCCUUACGGGAAAC
rnacentral:rRNA from 1 species